rnacentral:snRNA from 1 species
GGAUAUGAGGGUGAUCUGGCUGGGACAUCUGUCUUCCCAUUGAAUGCCAGGGUUGAUUUGACUGAUCUGGCUGGCUAGAUAGGUUGUCUCCUUCAUCCAUCACCACUCCAUGUGUAUCCCACCUGAAACUGCAUACUCAGUUGAUGAGGAUGAGCUUCCUCACUAGUGGAGGACUGAUCUUCAGUCAAGGGUAUAUGAGUAGCUGUGCUCCCCUGUUAGAACCUCCAAACAAGCUCUCAAGGCAGCAGAAAUCUAAUUGUCUUCAUUUAAUUCAUUUUUUUUUCUUUUGGAGGAGAGGUGGCUUUAAUGUUUAUUUCUGUCU